rnacentral:rRNA from 1 species
GAGUUUGAUCCUGGCUCAGGAUGAACGCUGGCGGCGUGCUUAACACAUGCAAGUCGAACGAUGAUCUCCAGCUUGCUGGGGGAUUAGUGGCGAACGGGUGAGUAACACGUGAGUAACCUGCCUUAACUCUGGGAUAAGCCUGGGAAACUGGGUCUAAUACCGGAUAUGACUCCUCAUCGCAUGGUGGGGGUGGAAAGCUUUUGUGGUUUGGAUGGACUCGCGGCCUAUCAGCUUGUUGGUGAGGUAAUGGCUCACCAAGGCGACGACGGGUAGCCGGCCUGAGAGGGUGACCGGCCACACUGGGACUGAGACACGGCCCAGACUCCUACGGGAGGCAGCAGUGGGGAAUAUUGCACAAUGGGCGAAAGCCUGAUGCAGCGACGCCGCGUGAGGGAUGACGGCCUCGGUUGUAACGU